AACGAACGCUGGCGGCAGGCUUAACACAUGCAAGUCGAACGCCCCGCAAGGGGAGUGGCAGACGGGUGAGUAACGCGUGGGAAUCUACCCAAUUCUUCGGAACAACUGAGGGAAACUUCAGCUAAUACCGAAUGUGCCCUUCGGGGGAAAGAUUUAUCGGAAUUGGAUGAGCCCGCGUUGGAUUAGCUAGUUGGGGGGUA
rnacentral:rRNA from 1 species